AUUGAACGCUGGCGGUAUGCCUAACACAUGCAAGUCGAACGGCAGCACGGUAAGAGCUUUCUCUUCCGGGUGGCGAGUGGCGGACGAUUGAUGGACACAUCGGCGUCUGCGUUUUCUUGGGUAGUAACGGAGGGGCACAUACCCUAUUACCGCAGACGACCAAAGGGUGAAAGCAGCGGAUCUUCCGACCUUGCACCAUUCAAUGAGCGGUUGUCGGAUUAGCUAGUUGGUGGGGUAAAGGCCCACCAAGGCGACGAUCCGUAGCUGGUCUGAGAGGAUGAUCAGCCACACUGGAACUGAGACACGGUCCAGACUCCUACGGGAGGCAGCAGUGGGGAAUAUUGGACAAUGGGCGCAAGCCUGAUCCAGCCAUACCGCGUGGGUGAAGAAGGCCUUCGGGUUGUAAAGCCCUUUUGUUGGGAACGAAAAGGCGCAGGUUAAUACCUCGCUGUUAUGACGGUACCGAAAGAAUAAGCACCGGCUAACUUCGUG
rnacentral:rRNA from 1 species